GUCCGUUGCGGACGUUCGAAAAAUGUGGCGUUCGGGAGGUCGCGUGCCGGGGUCGGACACUGCAGCAAGUCCCCCUGACCGGGGCUGUUACCCAGAGUGGGUGCGAGGCCCAUAGCUGCUAUGUCUGCUUCGGAUGUGACCUCUUGGGAGUCGGGUUGCUUGGGAGUGCAACCCUAAGCGGGUGGUAAACUCCACCUAAGACUAAAUACGGCCGUGAGACCGAUAGCAAACAAGUACCGUGAGGGAAAGUUGCAAAGAACUUUGAAGAGAGAGUUCAAGAGUACGUGAAACUGCUCAGAGGGAAACGGGUGGGCCCUCGAAAUCCUGUGGCGGGAGGAUUCAGUCGGGAGAGGCCGAGGUGGCGUGCAGCGCGUACCCGUUCCGGGGGCGCGUUGCCGUCGCGGUCUUGGUCUGGCUCGACGCAUUUCCUCCCGCUCGAGGACGUCGCAUCCGGUCGGGUAAGUGAUUGAGUCGGCCAUGUGGGCGAGCGCCGGAAGGUGGCUGGUGGCGUUGCUCUUCUCCGCCAGUUGUUAGCCAGUUCGUCCGUGGCACGGCACCCGACCGAGGUUAAAUCGUUCCCGUCAGGGAACUGGCCGCCCCCUUCGGAGCGGAUGCUGGCAGGUGUUUCGCGUCGUUGCCUCUUCACUCCCGUAGUGUCUGGCGCCUCGCGAUCCCCGUUGGGGUGCAACGGCUAGCGGCGAGUGAGUCGGUCACCCACCCGACCCGUCUUGAAACACGGACCAAGGAGUCUAACAUGUGCGCGAGUCGUGGGGUCUUGUUUAGGCCCGGAGGCGCAAUGAAAGUGAAAGCCGAUCUCGCGUCGGCUGCGUUGGGAUCCCCCGUCCCGAGUGGCGGGGGAGCACCGACGGUCCGUCCUGUCCGAUUUAUCGGUUGGGCGGAAUCCGAGCGUACACGUUGGGACCCGAAAGAUGGUGAACUAUGCCUGGGCAGGACGAAGCCAGAGGAAAC
rnacentral:rRNA from 1 species